CCCUCUCGGGUUACCGAAUUCAGACAAACUCCGAAUGCCAAUUAAUUUAACUUGGGAGUCAGAACAUGGGUGAUAAGGUCCGUGUUCGAAAGGGAAACAGCCCAGACCACCAGCUAAGGUCCCAAAAUAUAUGUUAAGUGGAAAAGGAUGUGGCGUUGCCCAGACAACUAGGAUGUUGGCUUAGAAGCAGCCAUCAUUUAAAGAGUGCGUAAUAGCUCACUAGUCGAGUGACACUGCGCCGAAAAUGUACCGGGGCUAAACAUAUUACCGAAGCUGUGGAUUGUCCUUUGGACAAUGGUAGGAGAGCGUUCUAAGGGCGUCGAAGCAUGAUCGCAAGGACAUGUGGAGCGCUUAGAAGUGAGAAUGCCGGUGUGAGUAGCGAAAGACGGGUGAGAAUCCCGUCCACCGAUUGACUAAGGUUUCCAGAGGAAGGCUCGUCCGCUCUGGGUUAGUCGGGUCCUAAGCUGAGGCCGACAGGCGUAGGCGAUGGAUAACAGGUUGAUAUUCCUGUACCACCUAGUAUCGUUUUAAUCGAUGGGGGG
rnacentral:rRNA from 1 species